UUUGGUUGUCAUUUUUCUUUCUCUAAAUGUAGGGAGCUUGCAAAAGAUUUUGUCGUAGCUGGCACUGCUCAGAGUCUCUUUAUGGUGCUUGCGAGUCAAUGUUCAAGGAGGACAUGGAACCUGAGGAAUUAUUUGAAACAGUGUCACAAGCUCUCCUUUCAUCAGUAGAUCGUGAUUGUCUUAGUGGUUGGGGAGGACAUGUAUAUGUUGUGACACCUACAGAAGUGAAGGAAAGAAUCUUGAAGGGAAGGAUGGAUUGAGCGAAGCCAAGUGGUGCGCAAGAUUCUUCAUUUCCAGACUUGAAAACUCUGUUUAUUUUCAUUUGUUUGUGCUCAUCAAAAACAUGUGUAGUAGACUUUUAAGGUACGAUUUCCAUACAUCCCAAGAGAGACUAACCAAGCCAAGUAUCCAGGUAAUAAAGUGCACAAUUUACGUAUAUUAGCAAACCCGUAGCUAUAAUUUUGAAUUGAUAAUGGAUGAUGUAAUGUAAUGA